rnacentral:lncRNA from 1 species
CCUGUCUCUGUCUGAGCAUGAUCACAACAAAAGUAGCUGUGCAGCACGUUUUUUAAUGAAGAGGAGGAUGGUUGUAGACGUUCACAUUCCUGCAAGAAGGCACUGCAGAGGCUAAGAAGACGCAUGGAAACUCUAAAAGAAACAUAAUUCAACUUGUAGGCCAGAUUUGAAAAGGAAAUAAUAAAUCCCGAAGCUCAGAUGUCAGACACCGAGGCUGCCAGUACCUCUGGGUCGAUAGUCCAUGUGUUGGAUGAUGCACUGCCGUUGAUCAGAACAGACAGCGUAUACGUAAGUUAGUGUCAUUCAACACCAGCACAUACUGUAAGUUCUUGUGAAUCAGCUUUGUAAAUCAAAGACAGGCAAGUCUGCACUUUCAUCCCAUAUUCAUUGUAUUAUUAGAAAAUGUAAAGUAGAGGAGCACAGAGCCAUAACUAAUCAAAAUGUACCAGUGUCCAAAUACUUUGAUAUCUAUCUAGUUAUCCAAGAUACUUUUUUUCUGCAAUACAGUUGACCAAAGCUAUGCUUGGAUACAAGACUGAUGACUCAAUAACCAGUAUUGACAACAGUGAAGAUGGUUGUGUCCCAGGGCCAUCAGAGGAAGGCAAUUUCUAUGAAGAAAAUCUGACCUGUAUGCCUAUACCUUACAUACACAUGGACCUAUUCUUAAUUACAAUGUCCUUUUUGACAUGUUUUCCAGGAGAGAUGUCAGCGAUUCGGGCUAAACAGCCAAUGACCAAGGGAAAGCUGGGACAAAUGAGAGGCUCACACGGUGUAACGAUCGUCAAAAGGAGUAGACCAAGGUGCAGCGUGGCUAUAACGAGCAGUACAAAAAUAAGAUCCCACAACUACAGGUGGGGAAAGGCUGCCUAAGUAUGGCUCCCAAUCAGAGACAACGAUAGACAGCUGCCUCUGAUUAGGAACCAUACUCUGCUCAACACAAAGAAAUAGACACCAUAGAAUGCCCACCCCACACCUUGACCUAACCACAUAGAGAAUCAAACCGUCUCUCUCAGGUCAGGGUGUGACAAAA